ensembl:lncRNA
GCAAGACCUGUAAGGUAAAUGGCCUAUGAUCAGUAUGAUGUUAAGGCAGACAAAAGACCUAAGGUUCACGCUUGCAAAUUAAAUUCUGAGUGUUUUCUACACUGCUAAUCGUGGCUGUUAGUCUGGUCAGUCUGCAAAUUUUCUGCCUUCCAUAUUUCCCCAGUUUACCUGUAGGUAGAUUCUGAGAGAUGAUGUCAAAGGCCUUUCUAAAGUCAAGUGAGAACCUAAGGCAGAGAAGUACUGAGCACUUCCGUCUUUCCUAUGAUUUUUGUUACUAGGGAUCACAGUUCAACAGAACACGCCCUAUUUUGUUUAUGAGAGCAGUAUAUUGAGGGGGGCGUUGACAGGGUGAAUGGCUGGCCCUGAGCUUUGGCCACAGAGCAGUUAUCAGAAACUGGCAUCAGAAUACAAGCCUGGAGGCAGCAGGGGAGCAGGCUUUGCUGGCAAGGGAAUGGGAGGAGGGGAGCUGUGCAAUGUGAGCACCUCAUGCUAAACGCAGUGGCGUUAAAUGUAUGAGAGAGAGGGGUUAUCUGGGAAUCUGUUAGUAGCAAACUUAGUUGCUGUUUGGAAAAAAAAAACGUUUGUGAUACUGACCUGGAACCAGGGCCGGCUGUUAACAGCAGAACUGAUGCUACAUGUAGUGUUUGACUUUGUGUCGAGUUUAUGGCCCGUUAUCUGCAUUCCACUGCAAUCUAUUAAUUACAGCCUGGCAUUUCACGUGGAUUUCCCAGCAAGGCCCUGCCUGAGGUCACGCUUCCCUUCCAGUCACCUAACUUGUGAGAGCAGGAACUGCGCUGCCCGGCAGUUUCUCAUUUGGGGUAGGUGGGUCCUUCUGGGACAACCCGUAAUAGCUGCAGACAUACACAUGACUGGGCUUUGCCGGCAUUACAAGGAGCAGCUUAUCGCUUCGGGGUGAGCAGCCUGCUGUCGGUGCAGCCAAAGAGCGACAUUGCAGGUUGGUUCUCCACUCCUCGUUAGUAUAGUGGUCUGCGGCAGCCCUGAGGACAGGAUGCGAAAUGCUCCAGCUCACAGCUUCUGCAUGACUGCCAUCCCUGCCAGCCACCAUGCUGCAGCCCUCAGGUUCCCAUCUGCUGAGAGACACUAAUGAAGUCAUCUUAAUCAGGAUGCAGGUUUGCAGCACCCGGCUGCAGCAUUGGAAACAGGUUUGGAGAUCCCUGCUCUGCUUCCAGGCAGGCCUGGUGCUUUGUGCUGGAGGAACACGGAGUGCUGCUGUGCUGAGCAAGUACUACAACCUAUUCUGUAAGGUACCAGAUGUGAUAGAGGCUUCCCAGCCCUGUGCUGGUGCCCAGCAGUGCCAGCUGUGGUUCUGGAGUUUGUCCAUAAGGAGCAGGGGCAUUUAGCACAGAGCUGCACCUUCUAGAAGAACUUUUUCCUGUGUUUUCCUGCUUCAGAUCCAGCCUGCAUUCUGUACAUAAAUUGGGUCUGCAAGGCCUCAGCAUAAUUUACUUCCUCUUUAUAGAGGCAGCAAGUACAGCAGCGAGUGUGGCGAGCCCUCAGCAACCAUGCUGAGCCCUCAGGCAGCAAUGCAUGGGAUGUCUGCUGGAGGAACACGAGAGAAAGGUACCUUCAGAUUGGUCUGAGGGGCUGCAAUCCUGUGCUGGUGGGAAUGAGACACCUGGACUGUGAUUUCAACAUUAACCUUAACGUUGAAUUAAGGCUAAAUUAAUUAAACUAGGCCCACUAGGUUAGUAGUAUUAAUUAAUUAUUAACAUAGGCCUACUUUUGUGAAGCACGCUCCUCAUGAAUGCUGCUGCUUUGUGAGCUGUGCUGGCGUGGUGCACAGAGGGUUUGCCUGUAGCACAUCUGUGGAAGAGCUACAGCACUGUCCACACCAGAACCUCCUGACUGGAACAGAAAAUCCCAGAGUUGAGGGAACAGUAAAUGGCAUUCACUGGCAUUCCAGCUGUGGUGUGUUCACAGCAAUCCAGACCAGGAGGCACCCACCUGAUGGCCUCUCCCAGCUCCGGUGCUCUUUCUGACUCCCUGUCCUUCCCCAGCACCCGGGCACACAGCCACCACGUCACUGCCCGGACGGCUGGGCCCAAACGUGCUGCUCUCUGUAAACAGGCUAAAAAUAUCCCCGCGCUGUUCCUGCGAGGGCCCUCAGGCUGGGAAGGAGGCCGGGAUCAGGCGGCCUCUGGGGAUGCUCCCUGCGGGCUCUGAGGGAAGGGGGGGUGGGAAGCAUCCAGACACAGUGCUGUGUGAGGAACCCGGGGUAUGUCACAGGAGGGCUGUAGCAGCUGGUGGGAAGGAACUGUUCCUCAAGUACACUGAGGAUCAGGAGGUGAUGUGUGGAGGACGGCCCGGUGUCCCUCCAAGGCCGGGGCAGGGCCCUGCUCGGGCCGAGCAGAACAGGAGACAAAUUCCUCCAGCUGUGUUUCUCAUCUGAGGGCAAUAAUUUGGUCCUCCUGCUCUUCUGUUUGCGCCGCUGGACAGACUAGUGGAAGGCAAUUAGGAAGAUAAAUGUUUUUCCAUCUCCCUGCAGUGCAUUUGUGAUUUAAAGAAAGGCUCAGCAGAGGUUACCACAGGCGGUUACAACAGUUUCUGAUUGCUGGGCUGAUUUCUGGACUGCACCAUUGCUCAGCUCAGUUAUUCAGCCCUACAAGAUGACAGGAAAGAAAGGGUCGUUUUAUAACGACAUAGAAAACUAUCAGCAAAGUUCCAUUCAGGGGAUAUUUUUGUCAGUCCUACGUUUACUUCCUUUGAAGCACCUUAACCAGCUGUGCUCAAGUUGGCAUGGCCAGGAAGGACCGAGGACCACAUCUACAUCACAGGGCUGUGGGCCAGCAGCCUGCAACUCCAGGACUGCCACUGUCCCAUCAGAUGGGGCCCUCUGAAUGUUUGUGUACCCCUGAUUUCUGUGGUCAGAACAGACUAUUCCUUUGGGAAGCCUGUGUCAGAAGGAAUUAAAAGCUUGCUUUUAAGCAAGAAGAAAGGGGGAAUACCUCCGGAAAGUAUUUUUCCAGCUCUCUCCAAGGUGUGAGGCAGAGCCCCAGUGGUUGCCCCAACCAGCCCCCAGCAGCACCAAAACCCCACAUCAAAUGCAUCAGUAGUGCUGUUAGAGGACAGCUGGCAGGACCCCCUCAGUGGGAGGAAAGCCAGGAGUAAAUUAAGGCACAGUGUGUGAACAGUAUGACAGUUCUGGACCUGGAGAAUGGCCCAGGGUCUCUACUUCUUGCAGGCUGCCAAUUAGCAGUCGUGGAGCAGCAGGUUGGGUUGGGGGAAUGAAUGGAUGGGAGGGGGCUUGCUGGUAAGACAGGGAUGCAGGCACCUGAUCUCCCCAGCAGCAGUUGAUGGAAGCUUGCUUUUACUGUUUUUAAAAAGGUAAUGUUACUACGGCAGCUCAGUGUUAGUGUUAGGAGCCAACAUCAGUGCUAACGAGGUCCUACAGGUGUACCCUGAUAAGGGCUGAUGCAGGGCAGCUGGCCAUGGUUUGCUGGGCUGCUCCAGGUGCCUGGGAGGAAAGAAACAGGAGAGCCGGAGGCUUAAACAGCCUGAGAGAGAGAAGCAAGUUGGGAGAUUGGCUUUGUUUUGUCUCUCGUAGCUUGAAAAAUGGCUAUCAUUCCUUGAUACUACAUUUCUUUAAAUUGAUUUUUUAAUGAAAAUUAUGCACAGCCAAGGUUUAACACAAAAAAAAUCUUGAGAGAAAGGGGAAUAGGC